AGAGGUGAAGCAGCGAGGUAAAGGUCAUAGGACAACUCGCUCCCUUCAGUUUAGGUUCCGAACUGGCCAGCCUACUCAAAGAGGCUUCGCUGGGAGGUGACCGUGUUCUGGGAAGCGGAGCACUGCGAUGGGACCCUAGUUCUCCAAAAGUGGCACCCCAGGCCCUUGCCCACUGGGAGGAGAAAAGGCAAUCGGUCUUUAUUUCAGUCUUGUAACUCCUCUUCCCAUCCCCACUGCCUUCUUAGUGCGUGAUCAGUAAUUUUCCAGCCGGGAAAUGUUUUCGCCCUCAUCUCUACAAACAGUACUUAAAAAAAAAAAAAAACCCUCAAAACGACAGUAGCCCUGCCCCCUCCGAGGCUCUCACCAAGUAACCACCACAAUGAAAAAACAAUAUUUCGCGGAUGAAUUGGAAAGUCACUAUUAUUAUGUCAUAUAAUCAAGGCACGGCUCUGAAUCUCAACUGAAAAAAGAUGGUUUCCCAACAGCUUUAUGGAGGAUAAAAGCCAGCAGGCUGGCCUUGAGUUUCUGGCAUCCAGCAUUCCUCCGGCCCUAAGUUGAGAGUCCGGAAUUGCAGGCACAUACCACCACGAAGUCCACCGUGCUUGGCGUGACCUUCAGACUUCCUCAGAGGUUAAGAAAAGCUGAUACAUGCCGGGCUGGGGCCUGACCGGUGAGCGGGAAGGCCUGGGCUCUGGUCUGGACUUGGCUGCUACACAUGAGCUUGGGUCAGUCCUCUGAUCAGCUGGUACCGAGAAAGAGGGAGAUGGAGCAAGCCUAAGGCUCCAGACUGGUGUGGAUGAAUAGAUGCGUUCUUGACCAUUGAUCUUGCUGGCCCCUUACUUCUCAGGCUUUGCGGAAGACCAAGUCAGAAAACGUCUUCGAGAUUGAUGUGAUGCCUUGACCUGCAAUCCCAGCACGUGGGAGGCAGAGGCAGGAAACCCACCAUGAGUUUGAGGCUCGCCUGUAGAAGGGUGAGACCUCACUCUAGAAACAAGACAAUAAAUCAGGACCAAACAAAACUCUAUGUGUGAUUGCUUGAAAAAUCCAGUUGUUUGCCUAGACAAGCCCAGUGCAGAGUGGCUUUGCCUUCAUUUUGAUAUAACAUCACCCAUUUUGUCUUUCUUUCUGUGGUCUCUGCCUUCUCCGGACUCCGAGAAGUUGCCAGCAUGUCUGACACCACAGUGACGCCAGUUCUCUCCCCUGGCUGGGCAGUUUCUUGAAAAGACAUGGUCGACUCUCUCCUAGAGUAUAGUUUGAAGAAUUUUAUUUUGGCUGUGUCUUGCUCGCCAAACCUUUACCAGGUCCAGAAAGUGAGGGUGCUCCACUUACCGUUCUGAAGUUUUCCCCCCGCUUGUUGGCAAACCUUGCACUACCAUUGUAAGAAGCCCGAAAAAGCAAACAGGAGAUUUUACAGCGGUCUUCGUGCCAAGCAUCCACCCCCUCAAUGAACUACACAAGAGUCUAAGCUAAGAGGCCGAAUGCACAUGCGUGUGUAAAGCAAAUGGACUCCUUCAUUUAUGAAGUCGGUUUAGGGAGCACCAUCCAUGUGUGUGGCCCAGAGCUGGACACUGCGAAGGAAUAUCAGCAUAAAUAAGGAUGCAAUCCUAACCCACGGGGAGCUGCGAGCAAUCAAAUAAUCACAAACAUGCAAAUAAACUAAUAAAAGAACUGCUAGUUUGGAGGAUGCAGGUUAGACAACUUUCUGUUAGUGUAAUUAAAUGCAUUAACCAAGAAGACAAAAACUGGGUUUCGGCUGUGGAUUCAGAGGUCUGAGUUCAUGCUAUUUUGGCCCCUUUGUUCUUGUGCUGUUGAGGCAGCAAGCCAUGGAAGCAGCGGCAGGAGAAGCUGCUCAGCUCGUGAAAGCAAAGAGACAGAGGGAAAGAGGAAAGGCUAGGCACAACCAUCCCUGGAAGAUCAUGUUCUAAUGGCUUUAGAUGUCUUUUUUUUUUUCUUUUUGAGAUAAACUCUUGUUCUGUAGUCCAGGCUGGCCUCAAAAUCAGUAUGUAGCUCAGGUUGCCCUCAAGUGUACUCCGAUACUCCUAUCUCAACCUCCACCUACUGAGAUUAUAGGCUUGAGCCACCACAUCUCAAAUAGAUCAAAGGAACUGGCCGAGCCACAGCACUGAGUUCCCAGCUCUGAGUCUGUGGUUGUCCAGUUUGACUAGUCCCCAAGUCUUGGAGUUCCUUCUUCCCAUUCAUCUGUCACAUGGUCACUAAAAGCCUGUAGAAGGAACUCUGCAACAUGCUGAGAAGUGCAGAGAAGAGCUCGAAUAAUAUAAAUUGUGUUGUCGAGAAGCGGAGUCGACACCAGGGAUCUGCAAAAGAGAGGUGCUCUGAGUGCCCGGCUCAUUCCAGGCACGGUGGCUGUCAUCAGGAAGAUGAAAGACCACACGUGCUGGCAAGGAUACGGGGAAAGAGGAACUCUUACUUGCUGCUGCUAGGAACGUAAAGUCGAGCAACCACUGUGGCAAUCCGUAUGAAGGGGCCUCAAAGCUGGAAGCUAGAAUGAUCAUAUGCCCCAACUCUUUGGGUUUAUAACUUAAGACUCUUAGGUUGAUUUCUCCUGGGUGCUUGCGUGUUCGUGUUUGCAGCAGCUGUCCAUUUGGUCAGGAGGUGGGAGCCGUCUAGAUGCCUGUCAACGGAUGAGUAACAAUGAAGAAAUAGAAAACCAAGCCUUUGAAAACAAAAAUAAAGAGAAAGAAAGAAGGAAGGAAGAAACAGAGCAAGCAUAAAACAGGGCCGCCAUGACUGUCUCCCAGCUUCCUGGCAGCCAGGACAGAUAAAGAACAAAUCCUGCCCCAGCACUCUCCUCAGAAGGGAAGAAGCCCACGGUUAUUUUGGUCCUUUAAACCCCAUGCUCAGUUCUCACCUGGAAGCCCACAUAAGGACAUUGAUAGACACAAUAAUUAAUGUUUUUGGCAAGCGCUUUACCGCAAAUGCCAAUUUUUGUCUGCCAUUUCUUGUGCAGGCCUUUAAUUAAGGUCAAGGGCUUAACACUGAGGCAGACGUCGGUGAGGGCUUGGCUAACCUGGUCCUACAACCGACUGCAACACAAUGCAGCCUUAGAAUAAAGGGCUGCUUUGCACUACAAGCGAGGUGGAGCUCAGAGGACCAUGCGGUUAUCUUUGAAUCGGAACGUGAAGCAAGCUCUGACAAAGGAGGCAGCCAUUGGGACUCCAUGACUGGAAAUCAAGAUGUCGGAAUUGGGAUGACAGCAAUGGAGGUUUGUGUACAAGUGCAGGGCCUUGUGAAACGGAAACGCCUGGCCUGUUUGGAGAAUGUCAAGUUGUCUGGAGUCGAGAGAAAGAUGCUAAUAAGACUUCCAUUAAAUAAGUCGGGUUUACCACUUGGACAUUUUCUGGUUCUUCCAAGACAACUUUUUUGUUGAGUUAAGCGAAAAUGAAUGAGAAUCAGAUGGACCACAUUUCUCUUGAAUACACACGGGCUUAACAAUGAAGGGGGGAGAAAGAACUUGACAGAAUGUGUCCCGGCUUCUGCCAAACCCAAAGUAUUUGAAGAAUCACACAGGACGCAGCUCGAACCCAAACACAUGCCCGGCUUCUCCAGCUCCUAAUUGCAGCUGCAGCCGGUUAAUACAAUGAACUGUGCCCAUGAAAAUGGGGUCUGAAUGCAGGGCCCACGUUAAAGGGAAUGACUGCUGUGGGCUGGUGAGCUGACCUCACCCUCCAGGAACCAGUUCAUUGCCUCGCAGGGAAAGAGAGUGGACCAAUGUGAAGUUUCUUAGACUAUUGAAUCCAGAUCUCUUGUAGAGAACAAUUAAAGUCUGUUAUUUAACUUCA